rnacentral:rRNA from 1 species
AAAUAGAUUAAAAUAAUUAAGGGCACACAAAGGAUGCCUUGGUAGUAAGAGCCGAUGAAGGACGUGGUAAGCUGCGAUAAGCCUAGAUAAGUUGCAAUCGAACGUAAGAGUCUAGGAUUUCCGAAUGGAGCAAUCUAUUAAGAUGGAGUCUUAAUACGAAAGAGGGAACCGCGUGAACUGAAACAUCUAAGUAACGCGAGGAAAAGAAAGUAAAAACGAUACCCAAAGUAGCGGCGAGCGAAAUGGGUCAAGCCUAAACCUUAAAUAUGUCAAGGAUACAGCCGUUGUAUUUAAGGGGUUGUGGGACAGAGUGAUGAAGAACUGUAAGAUAUUCAAUAUAGUGUAUUGAUGAAUUAGAAUUGUCUGGAAAGGUGAACCGCAGAAGGUGAAAGUCCUGUAUAAGUAAAUCCUUACACAUAUAACUUUGCUCCCAAGUAACAUGGAACACGAGGAAUUCUGUGUGAAUCAGUGAGGACCAUAUCUCAUAAGGCUAAAUACUCUUACUAACCGAUAGCGCAUAGUACCGUGAGGGAAAGGUGAAAAGAACCCCUGGAGGGGAGUGAAAUAGAACCUGAAAUUGUGUGCUUACAAGCGGUCAGAGCCCAUUUGGGUGAUGGCGUGCCUUUUGGAGAAUGAUCCUGCGAGUUACGUUAAACGGCGAGGUUAAGUAUAACGGAGCCGAAGGGAAACCAAGUCUUAAUAGGGCGAUUUAGUCGUUUGGCGUAGACGCGAAACCUGGUGAUCUAAACCUGUCCAGGAUGAAGCUGUGGUAAGACACAGUGGAGGUCCUAACCCACCGCCGUUGAAAAGUUGGGGGAUGAGGUAGGUUUAGGGGUGAAAAGCCAAUCGAACCAGGAGAUAGCUCGUUCUCUCCGAAAUGCAUCUAGGUGCAGCCUUGAGUGUUCAAUUAUGGGGGUAGAGCACUGAAUGAUCUAGGGGGCAUAUUGCUUACUGAAAUCAAUCAAACUCCGAAUACCAUAAUUUAUAGCUCAGGAGUGAGACUAUGGGAGUUAACUUCCAUUGUCAAAAGGGAAACAACCCAGACCACCAGCUAAGGUCCCUAAUUAUAACUAAGUGGGAAAGGAGGUGGAGAUUCACAAACAACUAGGAGGUUGGCUUAGAAGCAGCCAUACCUUUAAAGAGUGCGUAAUAGCUCACUAGUCGAGAGUCUCUGCGCCGACAAUGUAACGGGGCUAAGUUAUAAACCGAAGCUGUGGAAUCCGUAAGGAUUGGUAGGAGAGCGUUCUGUAGGCCGUUGAAGGAGAAGGGUAACCGACUUUGGAGGUAUCAGAAGUGAGAAUGCAGGAAUAAGUAGCGAGAAAGGGGGCGAGAAUCCCCCUCGCCGGAAGACCAAGGUUUUCAGGGUAAAGCUUGUCUUCCCUGAGUAAGCCGGGACCUAAGCCCAGGCUAUAAUGCGUAGGCGAAUGGAAAACAGAUUAAUAUUUCUGUGCCAGUCAUAUAUUGUGAUGGAGGGACGCAGAAGGGUAUGCGCGCGGACGAACGGAAGUGUCCGUAGAAGUAUGUAGGAUGACUUAGUAGGAAAAUCCAUUAAGUUAUAUCUGAGGUAUGAUAUAUAGUCGUAAGAUGAAUGCACAAAUCCCACGCUGCCAAGAAAAGCUUCUAACGUUAAUUUAUGACUGCCCGUACUGCAAACCGACACAGGUGGUCAGGAUGAGAAAUCUAAGGCGGACAGGCUAACUCUCGUUAAGGAACUCUGCAAAAUAACCUCGUAACUUCGGGAGAAGAGGAGCCCUUGGGUGUUAGUAUCCAUGCGAUACAAAGCGCUCGAGGGUCGCAGUGAAGAGGCUCAAGCAACUGUUUAACAAAAACACAGGUCUAUGCUAAGCUGGAAGGCGAUGUAUAUGGGCUGACACCUGCCCAGUGCUGGAAGGUUAAGAGGAGGAGUGAGAGCUCCGAAUUGAAGCCCCAGUGAACGGCGGCCGUAACUAUAACGGUCCUAAGGUAGCGAAAUUCCUUGUCGGGUAAGUUCCGACCUGCACGAAUGGUGUAAUGAUUUGAGCGCUGUCUUGACGGGAGGCCUGGUGAAAUUGUAUUACCGGUGAAGAUACCGGUUACCUACAGUAGGACGGAAAGACCCCAUGGAGCUUUACUGUAGCUUGGUAUUGGGUUUUGGCAUUGCAUGUAUAGGAUAGUUGGGAGACUGAGAUGAUAUGGCGCUAGCUGUAUCGGAGUCAUCGGUGGAAUACCAACCAUUCAAUGCUGAAAUUCUAAUCUGUGGUUUGUAGCCACGGAGACAGUGCUAGGUGGGCAGUUUGACUGGGGCGGUCGCCUCCGAAAGAGUAACGGAGGCGUUCAAAGGUUCUCUCAGGUUGGAUGGAAAUCAACCAUAGAGUGCAAUGGCAUAAGAGAGCUUGACUGCAAGACUGACGAGUCGAGCAGAUGCGAAAGCAGGACAUAGUGAUCCGGCGAUUCCGAAUGGAAGGGUCGUCGCUCAACGGAUAAAAGCUACCCUGGGGAUAACAGGCUGAUCCUACCCGAGAGUCCAUAUCGACGGUAGGGUUUGGCACCUCGAUGUCGGCUCAUCGCAUCCUGGGGCUGGAGAAGGUCCCAAGGGUUGGGCUGUUCGCCCAUUAAAGCGGUACGUGAGCUGGGUUCAGAACGUCGUGAGACAGUUCGGUCCCUAUCCACUGUAGGCGUUAGAAUAUUGAGAAGACCUGUCCUUAGUACGAGAGGACCGGGAUGGACAAACCUCUGAUGUACCAGUUGUCACGCCAGUGGCACAGCUGGGUAGUCACGUUUGGAAUAGAUAACCGCUGAAAGCAUCUAAGCGGGAAACUAACUUCAAGAUAAGUAUUCUUUAAGAUACCUUCGAGCCUAGGAGGUUGAUAGGUUGGGGGUGUAAGUACAGCAAUGUAUUUAGCUGACCAAUACUAAUUAUCGAAGUUUUAAUCUAAUUUGUUUUUACUAUAUAGUUUC